rnacentral:sRNA from 1 species
GACUGGCCCAUCUUCUGCUAGUGGGGAUGAGAGUCAAUGGCAUGUCUCUCAGUGGCCCCUCCCUGCAAGAACCCUACAGUGACCCCAGUGCGAGCUAACCUUCCCCAUCUCAGAUCCAGGCCCUGGAGGAUAGCUGGCCAGCAGUAGGUCUGGGGCCAGGGCAUGCCCGCCAUGUGCUGCGCAGCCUGGUAAACCAGAGUGUCCAGGAUGGUGAGGAGCAGGUACGCAGGUGGCAUAUGAACUUCUGGGUGUGUUGCGCUCAUCUGGAGGAGCAGUGCUGAGCCCCCGGGAGCUGCGGGUCUGGGCCCCUCUCUUCCCUCAGCUGGGCCUCCACUUCCUGCAGGAGCUGUCAGAGCCCCAGCUUAGAGCCAUGCUUCCUGUCCUGCAGGGAACUAGUGUUACACCUGCUCAGGCUGUCCUGCUGCUUGGACGGCUCCUUCCUAGGCACGAUCUAUCCCUGGAGGAACUCUGCUCCUUGCACCUUCUGCUACCAGGCCUCAGCCCCCAGACACUCCAGGCCAUCCCUAGGCGAGUCCUGGUCGGGGCUUGUUCCUGCCUGGCCCCUGAA